CUAGAUGGUUCUUUAAACACUAUGGGGUCAGGAAUAAAAGUUUUUGUGUGUUCCUGACCCUAUAGACUUUUAAAGACCAUAUCAAAUUUUAGGCCAAAAUAGGUUAAUUGGAAAUAUUAUCCAAGUCAGUUAUGUUUACAGUUUGGUUUUUUUGGCCUUUGAAUUUUAAUUUUGAAUUUCACUUUAAAUUUUUAACAAUUCACACUUUAGU